rnacentral:rRNA from 1 species
UACAGAGGUCUCAAGCGUUGUUCGGAUUCAUUGGGAGUAAAGGGUGCGUAGGCGGCGCGGUAAGUCGGGUGUGAAAUCUCGGGGCUUAACUCCGAAACUGCAUUCGAUACUGCCGUGCUUGAGGACUGGAGAGGAGACUGGAAUUUACGGUGUAGCGGUGAAAUGCGUAGAUAUCGUAAGGAAGACCAGCGGCGACGGCGGGUCUCUGGACAGUUCCUGACGCUGAGGCACGAAGGCCAGGGGAGCAAACGGG